GAUGAACGCUGGCGGCGUGCUUAACACAUGCAAGUCGAACGAUGAAGCCCCUGCUUGCAGGGGUGGAUUAGUGGCGAACGGGUGAGUAACACGUGAGCAACCUGCCCCUGACUCUGGGAUAAGCGCUGGAAACGGUGUCUAAUACUGGAUAUGUGCCACGGCCGCAUGGCCUGUGUUUGGACAGAUUUUUCGGUUGGGGAUGGGCUCGCGGCCUAUCAGCUUGUUGGUGAGGUAAUGGCUCACCAAGGCGUCGACGGGUAGCCGGCCUGAGAGGGUGACCGGCCACACUGGGACUGAGACACGGCCCAAACUCCUACGGGAGGCAGCAGUGGGGAAUAUUGCACAAUGGGCGGAAGCCUGAUGCAGCAACGCCGCGUGAGGGAUGACGGCCUUCGGGUUGUAAACCUCUUUUAGCAGGGAAGAAGCGAAAGUGACGGUACCUGCAGAAAAAGCACCGGCUAACUACGUGCCAGCCGCCGCCGUAAAAC
rnacentral:rRNA from 1 species